GAGCGGUAGGCCCUUCGGGGUACACGAGCGGCGAACGGGUGAGUAACACGUGGGUGAUCUGCCCUGUACUUCGGGAUAAGCCUGGGAAACUGGGUCUAAUACCGGAUAUGACCUUACAUCGCAUGGUGUUUGGUGGAAAGAUUUAUCGGUACAGGAUGGGCCCGCGGCCUAUCAGCUUGUUGGUGGGGUAAUGGCCUACCAAGGCGACGACGGGUAGCCGGCCUGAGAGGGCGACCGGCCACACUGGGACUGAGACACGGCCCAGACUCCUACGGGAGGCAGCAGUGGGGAAUAUUGCACAAUGGGCGAAAGCCUGAUGCAGCGACGCCGCGUGAGGGAUGACGGCCUUCGGGUUGUAAACCUCUUUCGACAGGGACGAAGCGCAAGUGACGGUACCUGUAGAAGAAGCACCGGCCAACUACGUGCCAGCAGCCGCGGUAAUACGUAGGGUGCGAGCGUUGUCCGGAAUUACUGGGCGUAAAGAGCUUGUAGGCGGUUUGUCGCGUCGUCCGUGAAAACUUGGGGCUCAACCCCAAGCUUGCGGGCGAUACGGGCAGACUUGAGUACUGCAGGGGAGACUGGAAUUCCUGGUGUAGCGGUGAAAUGCGCAGAUAUCAGGAGGAACACCGGUGGCGAAGGCGGGUCUCUGGGCAGUAACUGACGCUGAGAAGCGAAAGCGUGGGUAGCGAACAGGAUUAGAUACCCUGGUAGUCCACGCCGUAAACGGUGGGCGCUAGGUGUGGGUUUCCUUCCACGGGAUCCGUGCCGUAGCUAACGCAUUAAGCGCCCCGCCUGGGGAGUACGGCCGCAAGGCUAAAACUCAAAGGAAUUGACGGGGGC
rnacentral:rRNA from 1 species